AUUGAACGCUGGCGGCAGGCCUAACACAUGCAAGUCGAACGAGUGGCGGACGGGUGAGUAAUGUCUGGGAAACUGCCUGAUGGAGGGGGAUCACUACUGGAAACGGUAGCUAAUACCGCAUACCAUCAGAUGUGCCCAGAUGGGAUUAGCUAGUUGGGCGGGUAACGGCUCACCAAGGCGACGACCCCUAGCUGGUCUGAGAGGAUGACCAGCCAACCGGGGACUGAGACACGGUCCAGACUCCUACGGGAGGCAGCAGUGGGGAAUAUUGCACAAUGGGAGCAAGCCUGAUGCAGCCAUGCCGCGUGUAUGAAGAAGGCCUUCGGGUUGUAAAGUACUUUCAGCGGGGAGGCGUUACCCGCAGAAGAAGCACCGGCUAACUCCGUGCCAGCAGCCGCGGUAAUUC
rnacentral:rRNA from 1 species